UCCUGGGAGAAGGGGUUCCUUCCAGGUCAGAGUAGCUUGGUGGAGUGAUUGCGAAUUGUUGUUUCCACGUGAAUCACUCCUUUCUUGUACCCUCUGUCAUUAGUAUUGUUGCUGUUACUGUUCAUUUUCUUAUCUCAUUGCUGUUUUCAGUAAAUUGCUCUUAUUUCGACCUGAUCUUUACCAAUUCUCCUCUCCAUCUUGCAGGGGAGGGGGAGGCGGGGAAGGAGCAAGUGAGCGGCGCAGUUUCAGUCAGAGCACUAAAUUGGAGAGUACCAUUCCUAAACUACGACACACUGAACUGCAGUGUAAAGGAGCAGAUGUUUUGCAAAACAUCCUGAUGUGUUGCUUUUUCUUGUGGGAGUGCAUAACUGUUCCUUCUGAUGCAUCGACUUGACAGCUGGUUGAUUUCAUGGAACUGCUAAGAAGCCAUUAGUGGUGUCAUUGAAUUGAAACAGAACAGUGGCUCCCAGCUUGAACUGCAAUUGUUAACGUCUUUGUUGCUACUUUUCUCUUCCUAUGCAAAAUGUGGAAUAUCAUAGUUGCAGAUAAAAAGAAGUUUGUGCUCCCUGUCUGAUAUCCCUGAAUGAAGGAAAGGAGGCAUUAGUACCUGA